UACGUAGGUGGCGAGCGUUAUCCGGAAUUACUGGGCGUAAAGCGCACGCAGGCGGUUUGUUAAGUUUGACGUGAAAGCUCCCGGCUUAACUGGGAGAGGUCGUUGAAGACUGGCAGACUUGAGGCAAUGAGAGGGGUGUAGAAUUCCCGGUGUAGUGGUGGAAUGCGUAGAUAUCGGGAGGAAUACCAGUGGCGAAAGCGGCACCCUAGCGUUAGCCUGACGCUCAUGUGCGAAAGCGUGGGGAGCGAAC
rnacentral:rRNA from 1 species